CACGGGUAGGCGCUAGCGUGAUCGAAUUGUGGCGUAAAGAGCUCGUAGGCGGUUUGUCGCGUCUGCCGUGAAAGUCCGGGGCUCAACUCCGGAUCUGCGGUGGGUACGGGCAGACUAGAGUGAUGUAGGGGAGACUGGAAUUCCUGGUGUAGCGGUGAAAUGCGCAGAUAUCAGGAGGAACACCGAUGGCGAAGGCAGGUCUCUGGGCAUUAACUGACGCUGAGGAGCGAAAGCAUGGGGAGCGAACAGG
rnacentral:rRNA from 1 species